UACGUAGGGGGCAAGCGUUGUCCGGAUUUAUUGGGCGUAAAGAGCGUGUAGGCGGCUAGAUAGGUCCGUUGUGAAAACUCGAGGCUCAACCUCGAGACGUCGAUGGAAACCAUCUGGCUAGAGUCCGGAAGAGGAGAGUGGAAUUCCUGGUGUAGCGGUGAAAUGCGCAGAUAUCAGGAAGAACACCCGUGGCGAAGGCGGCUCUCUGGGACGUGACUGACGCUGAGACGCGAAAGCGUGGGGAGCAAACAGG
rnacentral:rRNA from 1 species